GCAGGUGUGGCGGAAUUGGCAGACGCACAGGACUCAAAAUCCUGCGAAGUAACAUUCGUGUGGGUUCGACCCCCACCACCUGCA
rnacentral:tRNA from 1 species